UUUACUCUGCAGCAAGCCGUCUGUCACCAGUUUCUUCCUUGUAUCCAUCCAACCUUCUUCUUCAACUGCUUUCCUCAGAUCUUGAGGCAUGAACUUGGAAGUGAAUCUCCCCUCCGCUUACUGGCUUGUAUUUUACAUUGAAGAACGUAAACUGAAAGCUGUCCUCCAGGCAUGCAUCUGUGUGCCCCGAUAGUUAAUGAAUGCCAAGUCCAUGGAACCAGACUACAGAUUGAUUGAGGGUACAGUAGACUCCUGAAGAAAAAACUACUUGGAAAAAAAAAAAAAACUUGCACCCUGC